UACGGGGGGAGCAAGCGCUGUUCGGAUUUACUGGGCGUAAAGGGCGCGUAGGCGGCCACCGCAAGUCGGUUGUGAAAUCUCCGGGCUUAACCCGGAAAGGUCAAUCGAUACUGCGGGGCUAGAGUGCAGAAGGGGCAACUGGAAUUCUCGGUGUAGCGGUGAAAUGCGUAGAUAUCGAGAGGAACACCUGCGGCGAAGGCGGGUUGCUGGGCUGACACUGACGCUGAAGCGCGAAAGCUAGGGGAGCGAACGGG
rnacentral:rRNA from 1 species